rnacentral:tRNA from 1 species
AGGCUUGUAGCUCAGUGGAAUAAGAGUACGUGUUUCCGACACACGUUGUCGUGGGUUCAAUUCCCACCAGGCCUA